rnacentral:lncRNA from 1 species
GUCAUUUUUAAGUUAUAUGUAUUUCUUCCAGUGGUGAAGUUUUUGUGUUUCUGUAUCCGUAACUUCAGAUUUACUCCGUGGUUUUGCACACAACUUCUGGAGUAACUCUUACCUUCCUAACGAUUUAGGAAUUUUGGACAACUUGGUUAUGGAGAGAUGAUAUUCUUCUACAGUUAUUUGUUGGCUAUGUUAAUUUUACUUCAUUGUUUCUCUGUUGAUUCUUGUUGUUUACUCUCUCGAUUUACAGGAGAGAAAUAAAUGAAUGUGCAACUAUGGCGGUGAUUAUAAUUGGUUGGGGGUUUGCUU